AUUGAACGCUGGCGGCAUGCCUUACACAUGCAAGUCGAACGGCAGCACGGGUGCUUGCACCUGGUGGCGAGUGGCGAACGGGUGAGUAAUACAUCGGAACAUGUCCUGUAGUGGGGGAAAGCCCGGCGAAAGCCGGAUUAAUACCGCAAACGAUCUACGGAUGAAAGCGGGGGACCUUCGGGCCUCCCGAUAUAGGGUUGGCCGAUGGCGUAUUAGCUAGUUGGGGGGGUAAAGGCCUACCAAGGCGACGAUCAGUGGCUGGUCUGAGAGGACGACCAGCCACACUGGGACUGAGACACGGCCCAGACUCCUACGGGAGGCAGCAGUGGGGAAUUUUGGACAAUGGGCGAAAGCCUGAUCCAGCAAUGCCGCGUGUGUGAAGAAGGCCUUCGGGUUGUAAAGCACUUUUGUCCGGAAAGAAAUCCUUGGCCCUAAUACGGUCGGGGGAUGACGGUACCGGAAGAAUAAGCACCGGCUAACUACGUG
rnacentral:rRNA from 1 species